rnacentral:lncRNA from 1 species
GGGGACGUGGCUGAAGUCAGUCGGGCCGCCCGCUUGCUGCACGGCAGCCGUGGGACUGGCACAGGCUCCUCGGCAGCAUUAUGGGCAGCUGGUAGAGCGGCCACUUCCGAGAGCCGGAUGGGCCUUCCGAGGUCGGGCCGUGCCCCGCUGGGCAGCGCAGAGCGGGUGUGUAGGGCACGCGACUUGGAGCCAGGUCCAGACCCAUCCUGGCUCCUCUCAGGGCUCCUUCCCCUCCCCCCAUUCCACCCCAGCCCUGCUGGCUGUCCCGCAGGACCCAGCGCCGCGGUAGCCUUCUCUGAACUGCGGCUCAGGCGGAGGUGUCACUCCUGCCUCCAGCCCAGGAAGGCAGGUCAGGUUAUGCAACGCGUGCCGCGCGAUCUCCCCCCACCUCCAACCCCCUUUGCUCCCGGGUCCACACGGCAGUUCCCACCGCUCCGGGUGUCCUCCCCAGUGCGCCGCGAUUUUUGUGUCCAAGCCCCAGAGUCCCUCUGAGACCAACCCCCAGCCAGCACAGACUUCCUGCCUUCCCAGCUCGGAAGCGCCCUCGAGAGGUGUCUAAAGGAGACAGUUGAUAGCCAAACAACAGUUUUGGAUUCACUGACUGAUUAUGAAAGAAGCAGUAGACUGGUAUC